rnacentral:rRNA from 1 species
UACGUAGGGUGCGAGCGUUGUCCGGAAUUAUUGGGCGUAAAGAGCUCGUAGGCGGCUUGUCACGUCGGGUGUGAAAGCCCGGGGCUUAACCCCGGGUCUGCAUUCGAUACGGGCUAGCUAGAGUGUGGUAGGGGAGAUCGGAAUUCCUGGUGUAGCGGUGAAAUGCGCAGAUAUCAGGAGGAACACCGGUGGCGAAGGCGGAUCGCUGGGCCAUUACUGACGCUGAGGAGCGAAAGCGUGGGGAGCGAACAGG